rnacentral:rRNA from 1 species
GCCUAACCAUAACACAACAAUUAAACCACCCAUUGUUCGCCAAAUAACUACGAGUAAAAACUUAAAAUUUAAAAGACUUGACGGUAUCUCACAACAGCCUAGAGGAGCCUGUCCAAUAACCGAUACCCCACGAUUAACCCAACCCCCCCUAGCCCAACAGUCUAUAUACCGCCGUCGCCAGCCUACCUUAUGAAAGAAACAAAGUGAGCAAAAUAGUCACUACUAACACGACAGGUCGAGGUGUAACUUAUGGGGGGGUUAAGAUGGGCUACAUUUUCUAACACAGAAAAUACGAACAAACUAUGAAACAAGAAACCGAAGGCGGAUUUAGCAGUAUAAUAAGGACAAAACACUUAAUCGAAACUAACGCAAUGAGAUGCGUACACACCGCCCGUCAUCCCUGUUAAAUAACCAAUUAUAUCCAUAAACACAACCACCACUUCAAAGCAGGGCAAGUCGUAACAUGGUAAGCGUACUGGAAAGUGCGCUUAGAAA